ACGAACGCUGGCGGCGUGCCUAAUACAUGCAAGUAGAACGCUGAAGGAGGAGCUUGCUUCUCUGGAUGAGUUGCGAACGGGUGAGUAACGCGUAGGUAACCUGCCUGGUAGCGGGGGAUAACUAUUGGAAACGAUAGCUAAUACCGCAUAAGAGUAGAUGUUGCAUGACAUUUGCUUAAAAGGUGCAAUUGCAUCACUACCAGAUGGACCUGCGUUGUAUUAGCUAGUUGGUGGGGUAACGGCUCACCAAGGCGACGAUACAUAGCCGACCUGAGAGGGUGAUCGGCCACACUGGGACUGAGACACGGCCCAGACUCCUACAGGAGGCAGCAGUAGGGAAUCUUCGGCAAUGGACGGAAGUCUGACCGAGCAACGCCGCGUGAGUGAAGAAGGUUUUCGGAUCGUAAAGCUCUGUUGUAAGAGAAGAACGAGUGUGAGAGUGGAAAGUUCACACUGUGACGGUAUCUUACCAGAAAGGGACGGCUAACUACGUG
rnacentral:rRNA from 1 species